AUCGCUUCUCGGCCUUUUGGCUAAAAUCAAAGUGUAGUAACCUGACCAAAAUACUUUUCACAAUCUAAUAAAUAAUAAAUAACGACUAUUU
rnacentral:snRNA from 1 species